UGGAUCAAUGUCACAAUUGGUGCUCUAACAACAGCACUGACCUUUUCUAGUAAUUUGUUAAGUGCAAUUUGUUGGGUAGUUUUAAAAGUGA
rnacentral:pre_miRNA from 1 species